UGAGAGGAAAGAAGUCGAAACAGGAAAACUCGUCGGCAUUUAGGGUUUUGCAAAUUUCCGACUUCCAAGACGCCAGUCCGAUGGAAAGGUGGUACUUGCCGACGGACCGGUGCGUUUUCCGCCACCCAGCAGAUCUCCGACCGGCGAGAAGCAGCCACAGCGCUAGAAAUGGGUCUUUCAAAUCCUUACAGUAGUUCACGCGCGAUUGAACUUCGUGCAUUGACCAGGCUACUUUGGCAUGGACAGCAGGUCAUGUGUUGGCAACUAGCGGCCUGGAUGGUUCAUGAACUUCUUUCACGAUCAAUAUGGAAAAUUUUUUAUUAGGAGACCUGUCAAUUCCAUAUAUGUACUUCCGAUUGUUCAAACGACGAAGAUGUGGGAAGAUUUGGGGAUAGACACCGAGGUAGAUGAAGAUCGAGGUUCCAAGAUGCUAUGAUGGAAGAAAGAAGAACAUCGACGAUCCCUUUCUCUUUGGUUGAAUUCCCAAGGUUCACAAAAAUGGUUUGCCUUUCAAGGACGGACGAGGAUCUGAAAUUGCUGCGAACUAAAUCGAAGAUUGUUUUUUUCUUGGGUUUUUGGCUGUCGGCAACACAUUGUCAUGGUCAAUAUUUUGACAAUGACGGCCAUGGUUACUUAUCCUGCUUCUCUCUUCACUAGCUUCAAGAACGGGACCAUUCAAAUCAAAUAUCUAUCAGGUGGGAUGCGUGAUCAGCAAGCUUUAUUGCCAUUGGGGGCAACUCUCUCUCGUUCUGUCUCUUAAUUAGACGCAUACUAGCUGAAAUGACCUCCAAUUGCAGACCCAUUGAUCAGGGAAGCGGGCUCAUUGUUGGGUGUCUCAAACUCUGCUAGUCGAAUGUAAAUAGCGUCAACACUUCCAUCAGACAACUGUUGUAGAUCGAAAAUAUCUCCUUUCCACAGGGAACACACAGGCUGUCCAUGAGGAAGCUUUCAAGCAAGCCGAUCUACAUCCCUCGGUGCUUUCCGCUACUGUUACAACACUGGGAUUGGAAGGACGCCUCAUCCCCGUCUGCAAGGCAAACUGGUCGGUUUUUGCAGCCCAACUUUUUCUUCCUGCUGCACCUUCCAGACCAAUCAUUUAGCUCCCAAUCUGUAAAAAAUGCAGGCUCGAACCCGCCGAGGCACUUGCAGUGGUUCAAUCUGAUCUCCCUAUGACAAACCCCAAAAGCUCCACAGAGGCCAUAGACACGAGAGAUUUGAUCCUCUGCGGGCCCAACCCAGAAAUGUAACGACUGUAGUUUACCCUUCGCUCAUAUGAAUAGCUUGUCCGGUCCCCUGU